rnacentral:tRNA from 1 species
GUGGUCGUGCAGGAGUGGUUAUCGGGCAUGAUUAAAAAUCAUGUGGGCUUUGUCCGGGCAGAUUCGAAUCCUGCCGACCACG